rnacentral:hammerhead_ribozyme from 1 species
AUCAAGCUGAUGAGUCCCAAAUAAGACGAAACGCUCGCCCUAGAU